rnacentral:lncRNA from 1 species
CUCGUCCAUCUCUGUCCUCCGACCCCUGCCCAGAACUGCACGCGUCCAGACUGGAGAAACUCUUUCUCCGAAGGAGCUGGGGAAGCGCGUGCUCCGCUCGCCCUGGCACCGCGGGUCGCCCGGCUCGGGGGCUGGGACGGGUGGCGCCAGAGGUGGUGCUCCCUGUCUAGGAGGGGACGGGGAAGAGGGCAUCUCUGGUCCCGGGAUGCGACCGUCCCGGUUUCUCCUUCGGGCCCCCUCGCGGCGCGCACGAACUCUAGGGGAAGUUGGUUGUAAAGUUUCCGAGAGCAGCAUGGGCUCGUGCGAGGGAAGCGCGGGGCGGGGAGGCGAGGACCGAAGCGCUCCUCGCGGCGUCUUUGUUCUGCUCCGGAGGAGAGACCUUGGCCCGGAGUCGCCAGGCGGGCCAGGAAAAAGUGUCCGAGCGCCUCGCAGACUGCAGCGGGGGAAAGGUCUCUUAAAAGUGCGACCAAGUGGGGAAGAAGCCAACAACAUGGAAGUACCAAGACAAGGUCAAAUCAUUCCUGAAUGGAGUCAUCACACCUCUUUACGUGGAGUUACUUAA